GUGCUCACUUUGGCUGCACAUAUACUAAAAUUGGAACAAUACAGGGAAACUAGCAUGGCCCCAAUGAAGGAUAACAUGAAAUCUGUGUAACAUCCAUACAUUUGU
ensembl:snRNA U6 U6 spliceosomal RNA